rnacentral:rRNA from 1 species
UACGUAGGCAGCGAGCGUUGUUCGGAGUUACUGGGCGUAAAAGGGGUGUGUAGGCGGUUGUUUUAAGUUUGGUGUGAAAUCUCCCGGCUCAACUGGGAGGGGUGCGCCGAAUACUGAAUGACUUGGAGUGCGGGAGAGGAGAGUGGAAUUCCUGGUGUAGCGGUGAAAUGCGUAGAUAUCAGGAGGAACACCGGUGGUGUAGACGGCUCUCUGGACCGUAACUGACGCUGAGACACGAAAAGCGUGGGUAGCAAACAGG